rnacentral:rRNA from 1 species
AGUCGACGGCAGCGCGGGGCUACCUGGCGGCGAGUGGCGAACGGGUGAGUAAUAUACCGGAACGUACCCAAGAGUGGGGGAUAACGUAGCGAAAGUUACGCUAAUACCGCAUACGAUCUAAGGAUGAAAGUGGGGGAUCGCAAGACCUCAUGCUCCUGGAGCGGCCGAUAUCUGAUUAGCUAGUUGGUGAGGUAAAGGCUCACCAAGGCGACGAUCAGUAGCUGGUCUGAGAGGACGACCAGCCACACUGGGACUGAGACACGGCCCAGACUCCUACGGGAGGCAGCAGUGGGGAAUUUUGGACAAUGGGCGCAAGCCUGAUCCAGCAAUGCCGCGUGAGUGAAGAAGGCCUUCGGGUUGUAAAGCUCUUUUGUCAGGGAAGAAACGGCUCCGGCUAAUAUCUGGAGCUAAUGACGGUACCUGAAGAAUAAGCACCGGCUAACUACGUGCCAGCAGCCGCGGUAAUACGUAGGGUGCAAGCGUUAAUCGGAAUUACUGGGCGUAAAGCGUGCGCAGGCGGUUUUGUAAGUCUGACGUGAAAGCCCCGGGCUUAACCUGGGAAUUGCGUUGGAGACUGCAAGGCUUGAAUCUGGCAGAGGGGGGUAGAAUUCCACGUGUAGCAGUGAAAUGCGUAGAGAUGUGGAGGAACACCGAUGGCGA